AGCUCGAUAGCGUAACGGUAACGCGUUUGUUCUCGAUCCUGGAUUGAUGCGGACCUACUUAAUGGUUGACGGAAGAUCUCGGUUCGAGUCCGGGUCGAGCUA
rfam:Stereum hirsutum FP-91666 SS1 unplaced genomic scaffold STEHIscaffold_24, whole genome shotgun sequence.